CAAUAGCGUAUAUUAAAGUUGUUGCAGUUAAAAAGCUCGUAGUUGGAUUUGUGGCUAUCGUUAGCGGCUUGACACUCUGUGUUAUUGCUUGUCUUUCGUGGCCAUCCUUGGGUGGAUGCUGUGUGGCAUUAGGUUGUCGUGCAGUGGAUGCCCAUCGUUUACUGUGAGAAAAUUAGAGUGUUCAAAGCAGGCUUAUGCCGUUGAAUAUAUUAGCAUGGAAUAAUAAGAUAGGACCUUGGUACUAUUUUGUUGGUUUGCGCACUGAGGUAAUGAUUAACAGGGACAGUUGGGGGUAUUCGUAUUCCAUUGUCAGAGGUGAAAUUCUUGGAUUUCUGGAAGACGAACUACUGCGAAAGCAUUUACCAAGGAUGUUUNCAUUAA
rnacentral:rRNA from 1 species